GUGAGGAAUUUUCCGCAAUGGGCGAAAGCCUGACGGAGCAAUGCCGCGUGAAGGAUGAAGGCCUAUGGGUUGUAAACUUCUUUUCUCAGAAAAGAAUUAUGACGGUAUCUGAGGAAUAAGCAUCGGCUAACUCUGUGCCAGCAGCCGCGGUAAGACAGAGGAUGCAAGCGUUAUCCGGAAUGAUUGGGCGUAAAGCGUCUGUAGGUUGUUUAAAAAGUAUUCUGUCAAAGAUUAGGGCUUAACCCUAGAUAGGCAGAAUAAACUUUUAAGCUAGAGUUUGGUAGAGGCAGAGGGAAUUCCCGGUGGAGCGGUGAAAUGCGUAGAUAUCGAGAGGAACACCAAAGGCGAAGGCACUCUGCUGGGCCAAUACUAACACUGAGAGACGAAAGCGAGGGGAGCAAAUGGGAUUAGAUACCCGAGUAGUCC
rnacentral:rRNA from 1 species